GUGGUCUCUCUGGCGACAAUGUUGGCCGUGGCAAUGGAGGACAGCAGAGAGCUGGAGACUGGAAGUGUUCCAACCCGGUGUGUGGGAACCUGAACUUUUCGUGGAGGAAUGAGUGUAAUCAGUGCAAGUCCCCCAAACCAGAGGGGGCUGGAGGUGGCAUGUCUCCUAUGGAUGGAGGUUUCGGUGGCGACAGAGGGG